rnacentral:rRNA from 1 species
GACGAACGCUGGCGGCGUGCUUAACACAUGCAAGUCGAACGGAAAGGCCCUGCUUUUGUGGGGUGCUCGAGUGGCGAACGGGUGAGUAACACGUGAGUAACCUGCCCUUGACUUUGGGAUAACUUCAGGAAACUGGGGCUAAUACCGGAUAGGAGCUCCUGCUGCAUGGGGGGGGUUGGAAAGUUUCGGCGGUUGGGGAUGGACUCGCGGCUUAUCAGCUUGUUGGUGGGGUAGUGGCUUACCAAGGCUUUGACGGGUAGCCGGCCUGAGAGGGUGACCGGCCACAAUGGGACUGAGAUACGGACCAGAAUCCUACGGGAGGCAGCAGUGGGGAAUAUUGCACAAUGGGCGGAAGCCUGAUGCAGCGACGCCGCGUGCGGGAUGACGGCCUUCGGGGUGUAAACCGAUUUCGCCUGUGACGAAGCGUGAGUGACGGUAAUGGGUAAAGAAGCACCGGCUAACUACGUG